GCCAGGCACGGUGGCGCGCACCUGUAGUCCCAGCUACUCGGGAGGCUGAGGUGGGAGGAUCGCUUGAGCCCAGGAGUUCUGGGCUGCAGUGUGCUAUGCCGAUUGGAUGUCCACACUAAGUUCAGCAUCAAUAUGGUGACUUCCCGGGAGUGGGGGACCACCACGUUGCCUAAGGAGGGGUGAACCAACCCAGGUUGGAAACGGAGCAGGUCAAAACUCCCGUGCUAAUCAGUAGUGGGAUCGUGCCUGUGAAUAGCCACUGCACUCCAGCCUGGGCAACAUAGCGAGACCCUGUCUCUU
ensembl:misc_RNA Metazoa_SRP Metazoan signal recognition particle RNA